UACGAAGGGGGCUAGCGUUGCUCGGAAUCACUGGGCGUAAAGGGUGCGUAGGCGGGUCUUUUAAGUCAGGGGUGAAAUCCUAGAGCUCAACUCCAGAACUGCCUUUGAUACUGAAGAUCUUGAGUUCGGGAGAGGUGAGUGGAACUGCGAGUGUAGAGGUGAAAUUCGUAGAUAUUCGCAAGAACACCAGUGGCGAAGGCGGCUCACUGGCCCGAUACUGACGCUGAGGCACGAAAGCGUGGGGAGCAAACAGG
rnacentral:rRNA from 1 species